rnacentral:rRNA from 1 species
UGGGGAAUAUUGGGCAAUGGGCGCAAGCCUGACCCAGCCACGCCGCGUGAGUGAUGAAGGCCUUCGGGUCGUAAAGCUCUGUGGGGAAGGACGAAAAACAUUGGCUAAUAUCCAAUGGCUUGACGGUACUUCCUUAGCAAGCACCGGCUAACUCUGUGCCAGCAGCCGCGGUAAUACAGAGGGUGCAAACGUUGCUCGGAAUCAUUGGGCGUAAAGCGCACGUAGGCGGCCUGAUAAGUCGGUAGUGAAAGCCCUCGGCUUAACCGAGGAAGUGCUAUCGAAACUGCCAGGCUUGAGUACCGGAGAGGAUCGCGGAAUUCCCGGUGUAGAGGUGAAAUUCGUAGAUAUCGGGAGGAACACCAGUGGCGAAGGCGGCGAUCUGGACGGAUACUGACGCUGAGGUGCGAAAGCGUGGGGAGCAAACAGGAUUAGAUACCCGCGUAGUCCCUGAGCGGGCUGGCAAGGCGCAU